rnacentral:rRNA from 1 species
CCCUUAGAUGUUCUGGGCCGCACGCGCGCCACACUGAUGCAUUCAACGAGCCUAUCCUUGACCGACAGGUCCGGGUAAUCUUUGAAUCUGCAUCGUGACGGGGAUAGAUUAUUGCAAUUAUUAAUCUUCAACGAGGAAUGCCUAGUAGGCGCAAGUCAUCAGCUUGCGUCGAUUACGUCCCUGCCCUUUGUACACACCGCCCGUCGCUCCUACCGAUUGGGUGUGCUGGUGAAAUGUUCGGAUCGGCCGUUUGUCGCGGUUUCCGCGUCAUGUGGCUGAGAAGUUCAUUAAACCCUCCCACCGAGAGGAAGGAGAAGUCGUAACA